rnacentral:rRNA from 1 species
AUGGCGAAGUUGUACGUGCAGGCGGUGCCCCCGCUGGAUCUGAAUAAGAACACCGAGUGGUUCAUGUACCUGGGGGUCUGGACCACCCACAUCUUCAUCCUCUUCAUCUCCUGGCUCCUCAUCCUCUACAUCUUCGGCUGCACCCCCGGCAUGGCCUGGACGCUCGUUAACCUCGUCCACUUCGCGAUUACAUACCACUUCUUCCACUGGAAGAAGGGAACUCCAUUCGCUGAUGAUCAGGGGAUGUAUAAUAGGUUGACUUGGUGGGAGCAAAUGGACAACGGCAAGCAGCUUACUCGCAACAGAAAAUUUCUUGUUGUGGUUCCUGUAGUCCUCUAA